CCAAGAUAAUGGGCUUGAAGUGGCAAGGGUUUAUGAAAAUACAUAUAACAAAGAGUAAAUUCAUAAAACGAACAUAUACCACUAUAUGCCUUCCUAAAUAUUAGUCAUAAGUUCAUCUUUCAUUCAUGUUAAAAGAAUAGACUUCAUCCUUCAGGCAAUCCCCAAUGACUGAAAUUCAUAGGAUUGGGGCAUUCCGAUUUCCCCACAGAAUGGGAUGCACCACAUCCAACCCCUAUCCCAAUGGUCGUCUUGGUCAGGCCUCUUGGUAUUUCCUUUUUAAUAUUCAUUUUUCUAAUUUGCCUUAGAGGUUUUACUGUUUUAUUAAUUUUAAAAAUAUUUUUGGACUUCAAAAAUAAGGAGUUAGGUUAAAUUGGUUUCAUUUCGUGUAUACUAUUCAUAUCCAUCCUCAUGGUUGUUUCAUAUGCUUUUCCAAACCUAAAUAGUAGCAUUUUGGCCAGGAUAAUUUUAAAUUAAUCCUCGUUGUAGGUUUGAGUGCUACUGAACAUGUCUGAAAUUUAUCCAAAGCAUGUAAUACUUAAAUAGCAUGUCCAUUAUAAUAAUCUAAACAUGCUACAUUUUUUCCUGAAAUAAAUUUUCCAUUAUGUUUGAUAAUAAUUUAUCCUGAAAAAAAUUAUAAAUCUUAUAAAAAAUAAAAUAUAUUAAAAAAUAGUUUUGUAUGUUGAUCCUUACCCUACAGCAUAUCAUAGUUCAUGUCAAACAUAAAAAAGGAACGAUUUCUCCCAUUUUCUUUAUUCUGGGCCAAAUUAAUAGCUAAAAAAGAAAAAAGCACAUCCCUUUGAUUUUAGGUUUCUCAGUGUUGAGCAAUUAACCACAAUUAUUGAAAUCCUAAAUUGCAUAGGUCUCUUUCCCAUCCUCUCCCUUCCUUCUCUCUCUUUCUCUUUUUCUCUCCCAGUUCAUUGGACAAUAGGCACUAGAGCUCGUAGCCUUCAGCAGAGGUACAUCAAGUGUGGGGCUUGGUCACACUUUUCAUUUGGAGGAAAAAAAAGAAAACAAAAAUGAACAAAUGAAGCGGGGAACUAGUUUAGUGCUAGGACGCAAUGGGUAAUAAAGCCUCAAAAUUGCACUUCAGUGGGCCCCAAUCCCACUCUUCUUUGGGGAAAGGAAAAUCAAGCUGAUCCGUGAGGUAGAGGUGCUAGAAUGGCAGGAAGAUGCUAUGGACCAUAAACUACACGUCAGUCACCAUGCCUGGAACCCAUCCCAACUUAAUUCACUAGCAAGCCUGUGAUGAUUAUAAAUACACUUGUACCACAAAAAGUCCCACUACUAGUCAAUACUCCAGAGUCUAGAACAUAUGACCUCAAUGAAUUCAAUAUAUACAUGCACCCUUCUUCAAGAUCUCUGUUACCUUUCUUAAGGUUUUCUCCAUGUCAAUAAAGACAAAGCCUAUUCCCUUUUCUCUAUACUUUUUUAUUAUUGUCUAAGUGAAAAAAGGCUGACCUCUAUCACUGACCUCUAGAAUCUAGCAUGUGCUUAAUACAAAAGGUGUGCAAUAGAUGGAUGGCUAUGAUGCCAUCCCAGUUACACAAAUGGCUUAGUCUCUUCGUUUAAAGGAAAACAAUGGCUUUGUAGGAGUUCAUGAAGGAUAUAUGACUUCAUUUUUUUGAGAGUCGGUGAAGCUGGUCUCAACCAUUUUGUGUUAUGUAUUAGUAGAUCAGUUAAUUGAGAUUGAUAUUUUUCCCUUGAUCCUUAUUCAGCUACCCUUUAAGUGGUUUACAAGGUUGGUUACCCAAUAUUUAAAGCAAUUACACAUAUUGUCUUUGCCAUUUAUUCUUAUACACAGGUAGUGGUAUGCUCAUCCAAUAGUUUGGCAUUUUCUUGGUUUUCCCAAUCUCAUCAAUUAAGGCCCUCUUCGAUAGUUCUAGUUUCCGAUUUUCAAUUUUUUUUUUUAAAAAAAAAAAUCUGAAGCAGGAAUGUUGUUUGGUAACCUAGUUGUUAUUUUCAGUUCUUUGAAAACUCUUUCUCAGUUUCUAGAAAUUAUAGAAACUAAAACAAUCUAGUUCUCAAAGUUUUUGAAAACCAAAACUGCCUAUGACCACCAUAGCCUCAGUGACCAUCACCA
rnacentral:lncRNA from 1 species